GAUGAACGCUGGCGGCGUGCUUAACACAUGCCAGUCGAACGGAAAGGCCCAAGCUUGCUUGGGUACUCGAGUGGCGAACGGGUGAGUAACACGUGGGUGAUCUGCCCUGCACUUCGGGAUAAGCCUGGGAAACUGGGUCUAACACUGGAUAGGACCACUUCUUGGAUGUUGUGGUGGAAAGUUUUUUCGGUGUGGGAUGAGCUCGCGGCCUAUCAGCUUGUUGGUGGGGUAAUGGCCUACCAAGGCGUCGACGGGUAGCCGGCCUGAGAGGGUGUACGGCCACAUUGGGACUGAGAUACGGCCCAGACUCCUACGGGAGGCAGCAGUGGGGAAUAUUGCACAAUGGGCGCAAGCCUGAUGCAGCGACGCCGCGUGGGGGAUGACGGCCUUCGGGUUGUAAACUCCUUUCGCUAGGGACGAAGCGUUUUGUGACGGUACCUGGAGAAGAAGCACCGGCUAACUACGUG
rnacentral:rRNA from 1 species